rnacentral:rRNA from 1 species
AUAACAGUUAGAAAUGACUGUUAAUACCGCAUAAAACAGCAGAGUCGCAUGACUCAACUGUCAAAGAUUUAUCGGUGUAAGAUGGACCCGCGUCUGAUUAGCUAGUUGGUGGGGUAACGGCCUACCAAGGCGACGAUCAGUAGCCGGCCUGAGAGGGUGAACGGCCACAUUGGGACUGAGACACGGCCCAAACUCCUACGGGAGGCAGCAGUGGGGAAUAUUGGACAAUGGGCGAAAGCCUGAUCCAGCGACGCCGCGUGAGCGAUGAAGUAUUUCGGUAUGUAAAGCUCUAUCAGCAGGGAAGAAAACGACGGUACCUGACUAAGAAGCCCCGGCUAACUACGUGCCAGCAGCCGCGGUAAUACGUAGGGGGCAAGCGUUAUCCGGAUUUACUGGGUGUAAAGGGAGCGUAGACGGCAUCACAAGUCAGAAGUGAAAAUCCGGGGCUCAACCCCGGAACUGCUUUUGAAACUGUGGAGCUGGAGUGCAGGAGAGGUAAGCGGAAUUCCUAGUGUAGCGGUGAAAUGCGUAGAUAUUAGGAGGAACACCAGUGGCGAAGGCGGCUUACUGGACUGUAACUGACGUUGAGGCUCGAAAGCGUGGGGAGCAAACAGGAUUAGAUACCCUGGUAGUCCACGCCGUAAAC